rnacentral:rRNA from 1 species
UCGAAAGCUUGCUUCCGAUAGGCGUCGACCGGCGCACGGGUGAGUAACGCGUAUCCAACCUGCCCAUCACUUGGGGAUAACCUUGCGAAAGUAAGACUAAUACCCAAUGAUAUCUCUAGAAGACAUCUGAAGGAGAUUAAAGAUUUAUCGGUGAUGGAUGGGGAUGCGUCUGAUUAGCUUGUUGGCGGGGUAACGGCCCACCAAGCCGACGAUGGGUAGCCGACCUGAGAGGAUGAACGGCCACACUGGAACUGAGACACGGUCCAGACUCC